AGUCGAGGGGCAGCAUCAUCAAAGCUUGCUUUGAUGGAUGGCGACCGGCGCACGGGUGAGUAACACGUAUCCAACCUGCCGACAACACUGGGAUAGCCUUUCGAAAGAAAGAUUAAUACCGGAUGGCAUAAUUUUCCCGCAUGGGAUGAUUAUUAAAGAAUUUCGGUUGUCGAUGGGGAUGCGUUCCAUUAGGCAGUUGGCGGGGUAACGGCCCACCAAACCUACGAUGGAUAGGGGUUCUGAGAGGAAGGUCCCCCACAUUGGAACUGAGACACGGUCCAAACUCCUACGGGAGGCAGCAGUGAGGAAUAUUGGUCAAUGGACGAGAGUCUGAACCAGCCAAGUAGCGUGAAGGAUGACUGCCCUAUGGGUUGUAAACUUCUUUUAUACGGGAAUAAAGUGAGCCACGUGUGGCUUUUUGUAUGUACCGUAUGAAUAAGGAUCGGCUAACUCCGUGCCAGCAGCCGCGGUAAUACGGAGGAUCCGAGCGUUAUCCGGAUUUAUUGGGUUUAAAGGGAGCGUAGGCGGGUUGUUAAGUCAGUUGUGAAAGUUUGCGGCUCAACCGUAAAAUUGCAGUUGAUACUGGCGACCUUGAGUGCAACAGAAGUAGGCGGAAUUCGUGGUGUAGCGGUGAAAUGCUUAGAUAUCACGAAGAACUCCGAUUGCGAAGGCAGCUUACUGGAUUGUAACUGACGCUGAUGCUCGAAAGUGUGGGUAUCAAACAGGAUUAGAUACCCUGGUAGUCCACACAGUAAACGAUGAAUACUCGCUGUUGGCGAUAUACAGUCAGCGGCCAAGCGAAAGCAUUAAGUAUUCCACCUGGGGAGUACGCCGGCAACGGUGAAACUCAAAGGAAUUGACGGGGGCCCGCACAAGCGGAGGACAUGUGGUUUAAUUCGAUGAUACGCGAGGAACCUUACCCGGGCUUAAAUUGCACUGACGGAAUCGGAAACGGUUCUUUCUUCGACAGUUGU
rnacentral:rRNA from 1 species